ACUGUACGUUAUCAUAUUUCCAUGGUAACUCUGCCUUGCUGAACUGCUUGCUUCCUCUUAUUGCUUCCUUCUUUUGACUUACAGCGUUAAUUCUGUAAAACACAUUCAAGUCUAUAAACAGCUGCUGUGUUUGCAGCUGUGCUCUGCUCUCUAAACAUGUAGCCAUGGAAAUGAGUAACUAAGUAUGUAAGUGUGAUUUUUAGUUACCAAGUGUAGCUAAAAGGCACUGUCGUUAGUUAUUAAUACAGCAGUGACAACUACUUGUAAGUAAACAGAGAGAAGCUGAGAAAGGGGGCAGGACUUCAUCUCGUCUCACGGUCACUUCUGGUUAAGGACACAUUUCUAUUUUAACUUUUGCACGCUUACUUUCUGUGAGUGAAUUUAUGACUAAUCUACGAUGUCACCACAGUGGAAAGAUACGUUAAAGGAAUCUGCAUUAGUUUAAUGAAAUAAAAAAUAAAAUUACUGUCAGUUCUUGAUUUUACUGCUGUGUGAGAAAGUGUGUGGAUUACCAACACCUGCUGUGAACAUUUGCUGUCAAAAGUUGUAGAAGUUUUCAGACGUGUCACUGCUGGAUGUGAGGAUGGGAGCCACUUUGCUCUGUGAGCUGGGCCUAUUCUUGCUCUGUACGCUCCUCUGCACUGGACACGCUCAAGAUGCUGUACUAACUAUUGAACCCAGCUGGUCCAGUUAUUUCAUUGGAGAGUCUGUUACCUUCAAAUGUGACAUGAAUGAAGGAAAAGACACUGACUGGUAUUAUACAAUCAACAAUGAUGGUCGAGACUAUGUCAGCUACAGUGAAUACAAAGUCUACACUUUACAAAUUAGAUCAGGUGACAGUGGUACAAAUCAGUGCUCUGGUAUUUGGAAGCGGUCACAUUAUACAAAGAUCAGUAAUAAUGUCUCUAUAACUGUAUUAGGUAAGUCCUCAGUGAAUAAUAAUGUGAUGAUUCCAGUUAAAAUACU